UUGCCCGGCCAAACAGCUGAUUGGUGCGGCAAGCCUGGGAGGGAGAAGUGGCACGGUGGCGGCGCACUCAGAGAGGAGGCGGAGGCAGAGCAGAGGUGUGCUGGGGUGGGGAGUGGUUCCUCUCCCUACCCUGAUAUAACACAGCCUCACCUAUAACACGACUCUUCACCCAGUGGUUGAAUGACUGCCACUUUGCUGGAGUUUUCUGCCUAUGCUGGAACCCAUCAGAAGCAAAGUACAGCACCCUUUGAGCUGACUUCCGUGGGGCUCUGUAUGGUCUCAAGGAUCUGCCCACAUGGAUCCAAUUGCAGGAUCAGGACCUUCAAAUUUGCAAGCACAAAAUUAUCCCCAGAAAAAGGAAAUGGGGCCUAUCUAUUCCCUCAAAUACACCACAAGACAUACAAGAACAGAAGAAAAGAUUCAGAGGCAGCCUGAACAGUCGCUCCCCAAGCCAACCUAGGAGUGGGAUGUGGAAGCAAGCAAAAGUAGCAGCAAUAAAGAGUGGAUUGUGCUGCUUCUCUAAAGCUUUCUGACCUGACCCAGUGGCUCCUGUUGUCUUCUUGGAAGUGAGUGCAGGCUUCUGAUCUUCGACAGGAAGACCUGUGAAAUAAUCAGCAGGUUAGAAAGCAUUGAAAACAGAGGAGAGAUGCUAACAGAACAGAAACGAUAGGCCACAUAUUUCAAACUUGGCUUCCCAAUAUUAGAUACCUAGGAAGAGAUUUUCAAAGACACAAAUGGCUCAACUCCCUUUGAAAGGAGUUGGAUGUUUAACUUGCAUUUAUGCCUUUAAGAGCGUCCCCCACAAAAAAUAACCUGAUUUUCAAAGGUGCUGAUCACCAGCCACUCUUACUGAAAUGGCUUUAGGCUUCCAUAUUUUGAUAUUUUAGAUAUAAUAUUUUAGCCUCUGGUGCAAAUUAUUUAAAGUUGCAAACAAUUUUUUAAAAAAAAGCAAAUACAAUUUGAACAAUAUUUUCAGCCUCUUCUCAAAGACUCAAGAAAAAAACUUGCCUUUACAAAUUCUUCUUCUUUGUGAAUCCUUUAAACGUACACUGGGGCAACCAGAAAUGUUUUGUUUUGUUUUUAAAGCUACUCCAGAAUACAGACAUUCCACUUCAGCGCAGUUAAAUUAUGGCAGUAAAUUAACAUUAAAUAAUAAUUCGUAGCUUUUUUUUUUUAAAAAGGACAAAAUAUAUCAAUGUUUUAAGUAAUACCAUUUAAGUUUUUCAUUAACCAAUAUAAUAAUUUAUAUUUUACAAAUAAUUUAUUUACUGUGUAAUAAGGAUUAAUUACAAUUCUGUAUAAUGGGAAAGGCAAAUAUAGCAAUAAACUACAACAUAUUGCAUGUCUAGAGAUGUAAUGGAAGACUAAACAUUAUCAGUUUCAUGGCCACACAUUAUACGUGUGCCACCCUGCCCUCUACUAGACGGGAUACUUAGAUCUUUUCCUGUACUGGUAGAGCGUCUUAAAUUUACAUAAUGGACUGUGUUUUUAGUGGUGACGGUCAUGUAUGGUAUUUCUGAGUGCAGUACAUUUUAUUUUGUUCUGUUAAAAUGCAAUUUAGAAAACCUACCUUCCAAUUGCUUGAUAGGAAGAAAAAGCUUAUUUAUUAUUUAUUUGUAUUUCAGUAGCACCAAGGAGACCCAGCCAUGCACCAGAACCCCACUGUGCUAGCUUUUCUACAAACACAGAACAGAAAGACUGUCCCUUCCCCAAAGAUUUUAUAAUCUGGGGCUAAUUGUAUGAAAUACAUUGCAAAGUUCUUUAUUCCACAUUAGCUCCAAGAAAUUAAGGUAGGGUGUGGAAUAAAGAAGGGUAGAUCCAUUGGAUUAAACUAAUUUGGAAUAAGGCACUCUCACUCCAGAAUAAGGGCAUUCACACAUGGAGUUAAUCAGGAAUUCUUAAUCCUCUUUAAAUUCACAUCCUAUCUUAAUCUGGAUUAAUUUACAUGUGUAGACAAGUCCUAAAUACACAAGACAGAUGAAGGAAGUAUUUAUCAUUAUCUCCGCUUUCCAGAUGGAGAACUGAGGGUACAGAGAGAUUUAGUGAUUUGCCCAAGGUCACGCAGGGAUGUGUGUGGUCAUACCUGAGAAGUGUGGGUAUUUGGUAUAUAUUUGGAAACACAAGGUCAAAGUGCAAGUACCUUUCACCCCCACCUGCAAAAGGCAGGUCAGUAUCUAAUUAACUUGUAUUGACUUGUCUUUUUGUGCUUACAAAAUGUGUUUUGCAUUAUAUUUUUGUAACAGUUGGCUAGUAAAUCCUGACCUGUGAGGGUUAAUGCUGAAUACCUACGCAGCUGGAGCCAUUGGUGGCCAAUCACAUUCCUGCUCUGAUCAUUUCCUGUUUUACAAAAUGUAAAUAUUGGAUGUCUUGUCUGAAUCUUCAGAACCUAAACAUGUGAUCAUUAUUAAUAACAUAUGUAAUAAGAUACCACAUGCUGGCAUAAUAACCUGCAGUAAACGACACCAAAAAUACUGAGAACCUUAGCAUACAAUUGAAACUCGUUAAUGGUUCAGUGUGCAGUUUGGCAUAAAACUAGCAGGCAAGAAUUCCACACAAUGGAACUGUGUAAGUGCUAACAGCAGGCUCCUGCAAGACAAAAUAAACUUGUUUUAUGGA